CCUACGGGAGACAGCAGUGGGGAAUAUUGGACAAUGGGCGCAAGCCUGAUCCAGCCAUGCCGCGUGAGUGAUGAAGGCCCUAGGGUUGUAAAGCUCUUUCACCGGGGACGAUAAUGACGGUACCCGGAGAAGAAGCCCCGGCUAACUUCGUGCCAGCAGCCGCGGUAAUACGAAGGGGGCUAGCGUUGUUCGGAAUUACUGGGCGUAAAGCGCACGUAGGCGGACAUUUAAGUCAGGGGUGAAAUCCCGGGGCUCAACCCCGGAACGGCCUUUGAUACUGGGUGUCUUGAGUGUGGUAGAGGUGAGUGGAAUUGCGAGUGUAGAGGUGAAAUUCGUAGAUAUUCGCAGGAACACCAGUGGAGAAGGCGGCUCACUGGACCACAACUGACGCUGAGGUGCGAAAGCAUGGGGAGCAAACAGGAUUAGAUACCCUAGUAGUC
rnacentral:rRNA from 1 species